rnacentral:rRNA from 1 species
CCUACGGGUGGCAGCAGUGGGGAAUAUUGCACAAUGGGGGAAACCCUGAUGCAGCGACGCCGCGUGAGUGAAGAAGUAUUUCGGUAUGUAAAGCUCUAUCAGCAGGGAAGAUAAUGACGGUACCUGACUAAGAAGCCCCGGCUAACGACGUGCCAGCUGCCGGGGUAAUACGUAGGGGGCAGGCGUUAUCCGGAUUUACGGGGUGUAAAGGGAGCGUAGGUGGGAGGGCAAGUCAGAUGUGAAAACCCGGGGCUCAACCCCGGGAGUGCAUUUGAAACUGUCCGGCUGGAGUGCAGGAGAGGUAAGCGGAAGGCGUAGUGUAGCGGUGAAAUGCAUAGAUAUUAGGAGGAACCCCAGUGGCGAAGGCGGCUUACUGGACUGUAACUGACGCUGAGGCUCGAAAGCGUGGGGAGCGAACAGGAUUAGAUACCCCUGUAGUC